GACGAACGCUGGCGGCGUGCCUAAUACAUGCAAGUAGAACGCUGAAGGAGGAGCUUGCUCUUCUGGAUGAGUUGCGAACGGGUGAGUAACGCGUAGGUAACCUGCCUGGUAGCGGGGGAUAACUAUUGGAAACGAUAGCUAAUACCGCAUAAUAGUAGAUGUUGCAUGACAUUUGCUUAAAAGGUGCAAUUGCAUCACUACCAGAUGGACCUGCGUUGUACUAGCUAGUUGGUGAGGUAACGGCUCACCAAGGCAACGAUACAUAGCCGACCUGAGAGGGUGAUCGGCCACACUGGGACUGAGACACGGCCCAGACUCCUACGGGAGGCAGCAGUAGGGAAUCUUCGGCAAUGGACGGAAGUCUGACCGAGCAACGCCGCGUGAGUGAAGAAGGUUUUCGGAUCGUAAAGCUCUGUUGUAAGAGAAGAACGAGUGUGAGAGUGGAAAGUUCACACUGUGACGUAUCUACCAGAAAAGG
rnacentral:rRNA from 1 species